rnacentral:rRNA from 1 species
AUACGUAGGGAGCGAGCGUUGUCCGGAAUUACUGGGUGUAAAGGGAGCGUAGGCGGGAGUGCAAGUCAGAUGUGAUAUGCAUGGGCUUAACCCAUGAGCUGCAUUUGAAACUGCAUUUCUUGAGUGAAGUAGAGGUAAGCGGAAUUCCUGGUGUAGCGGUGAAAUGCGUAGAUAUCAGGAGGAACACCGGUGGCGAAGGCGGCUUACUGGGCUUUUACUGACGCUGAGGCUCGAAAGCGUGGGGAGCAAACAGGAUUAGAUACCCUGGUAGUCCACGCUGUGAACGAUGAUUACUAGGUGUGGGGGGACUGACCCCUUCCGUGCCGCAGUUAACACAAUAAGUAAUCCACCUGGGGAGUACGGCCGCAAGGUUGAAACUCAAAUGAAUUGACGGGG